AGUAUGAGAUUGACAACGAAAGAGAGAGGACAUGCAGAACAAACGCCACGGGGAACGGAGCCCCGCCGGCUCUUUUCUCCCCCCACGCUAUUUCUGUCAAGUCAGACAGAAUAGCAGAAAUGCAAACCAGCUAACGCAGACUCGUCCCAGAGUCUUUGAUUUCUGAGUUAAUUUAAACUUGAGAAAGCGCAUCUGCCAAACGCUUCAUCAACGUGUACCGAGGUCAACUCUGGACUGGACCGUCAGCACACCGUCGUCUUCUCUGUCAGCCAAGGUGGCACCUGGAGAAACAUCCUCCUUCGGUCCGGAUCUAAAGAGGGUCCUAAGGAGGAAAGUGGAGAAAACCCCACACAUGCAUGGAAGAACAUGCCAACUCUGAGCAGAAAGGCUGCAGACAGAAUUUAAACCUGUGACCUUCUCGCUGUGAGGCUACUAUGCUACCAACUGUACCACUAUGCAGCCUCAUUAGAUCCAGCUUGAAUUACUAUUUGUCCACUAAAAUGAUCAGCAACCAGAUGCUUCGGGCAUCUGUCCAGGAUUCAGACGGACUCUGGUCUGCUACAGGCUUCUGUGUGAUGAUUAGGUCUCUGACAGGCAUGGAGCUGAGCUCAUGCUGCCACAGCACAACUUUUACAACACAAUGAUUCUUCUGGAAGAUUGGAUUUGACCAAGAAAGCAUUUGAAGUCACAUGUCUGAUAAUUUCCUGUAAGGUAUCACAUUAAAACCAACAGGAUAUAACGAA